UAAAUGACGUGCGGAGAAAGUUUAUUGUCAACUCAUAAGUACUCUUAACUUAAGGAGAUCGUAGGGCUCUCUCUUUUAUGAGUGCUAGCUAUUAAUCACCAUAGGUCAUAAGGGCAGAAUAAACCAGAAACCUUUGGAUCCCUUGUUGUCAGAUUUCAUUCUAAGGGGUCCUAUAACUACAUCCAGGGCUUUGGUCCAAGUAGACAGAUUAACCUUUACCUGCUAUGUAAUAGAUUAACCUUUACAUCCAGUGCUUGUAACCUAAAAUUUUUAGGACAUUAUCGCUUGGGAGUGCUUUUUGUUUAUCAAAAAUAGGUAGGCUGAGGGUAACAAUGCUGGUGACUGUCCCUGAGUGUGAUAAUCUUAUAUGUUCUCUCUUUUUUGGAUCGUGAAUGCUUAAAUGUUAUCAGUAACAUGAAUCCUGAAAUUAUGGCUAUUUUUUCUUCACCUACCACACAGGUUUAUUUUGAUACAUUGACCAUUUUAUUGUCCUUCUUAGGAAUUCUUUUUGAAUUUUUUGGAUCCUCCUUUUCAGAUUGUUAAUUAAUGUUUUAGGAGUUAGGAUUUAUAUAUUUGAUUGUGGACUUAAUUGAGAGCAGAAAAUGGUGCUUCAUUAUAAACUUCUAUCUGUUGGGAGGUUUGUUGCAGAUGCCUGUAAAUCUCAAAUUUUGACAUAUAUUUUAUAGGAAUGUUUAUUCUAGGUGCUGUAUGAAAGUGAAAGUUUGACAAAUUUGGCAACAAGACUGCAUGGUUUGUUUUGAAUCAUAACUGAUAUUUGAAUUCUAUUUUUUGCCUUUACUCUUGAAGUAAUCUAUUGGCGGUCAAUGCAGCUCUUGCUAUUAAGUCAGUUUUUUUUGUGUUGCAAUAAUUGUUUUUUGCAUCUUAUUAAGAAAUUAGGUUUGGGAAAUCAAAUCUGACCCAGCAAAAAUAGUAAUAGGUUUCUGCUUUCCUUAAGAAAAUUGUGGUUUCUCUUUUUAUACCUUAGACUGGCUUGGUACUGCCAGGCUGCCCUGCUUUCAUCAGGAAAUGUUACCAUAACUUAUUGGCAUUUUUGUAGGAUAUUGUUUUGUGAAAUACGCAACAUUAGAAGAAGGUGACAGGGCAAUAUCAGCUUUACAGAAUCAGUAUACAUUUCCCGGGGAAGUGACUCCUAUUAAGGUCAGAUAUGCUGAUGGAGAACGGGAUCGCAUUGUAGGGCAACAAUCAGACAAGUUAUAUGUUGGCUGCCUUAGCAAACAAACUUCAAAAAUGGAAAUCGAGGAAGUAUGGUCCACAUAAGCUGAACUUCCUGGCUUUUACUUUGGAGCUACCCAGUAGACAUUAUUGUUACUUUUUCAUUAUUUUUUAAGGUUUUACUGACAUCCAUAGUCGUAACAUGUAGAAUGCAAAAACAAUAAGGAUAAUGUCUUACUGAUAUCACAACUACCUGGAAACCAUGUUGAACAGCUAACAUGAGGCAAAACAUGAUUUAAGUCCUCAGGUCCAUUGCACGUUUUUGCUAUGUUUAACAAUAUUUUGGCUUAAAUUGGCUAUUUUUCUUGUAUAGGGAGUAGGGAUAAAUAGCUGUUGUUGUAGAUGAGGCAUGUUACCUCUUUUCAGAAAAAAAAAAAAUGC